rnacentral:misc_RNA from 1 species
GAAAAAAUCAGAGAUGAAGUUCUGGAAGAUAUUGAAGAGUCACAUAGAGGAAACAUUGCCGGAAUGGCAAGACAAAUUCUUGAGUUACAAAGAUCUGAAGAAAGAAUUGAAAUUGAUUUAUCCUCAGGAUGAUCGGCCUAUCAAAAAACAGAGAUUGAAUAAUGAUGAGCUUGCCAAGGAGGUGAAUGAUUUUGUAAAGCUCUUAGAAGAGGAGAUUGAUAAGUUCAACACUUUCUUUGUCGAGAAAGAAGAAGACUACAUCAUUCACCUUAAGGUUUUGAAAGAGAGGGUAGCUGAGAUGGGAAAGUCAAAUGAAGAGGUGAAUAGAUUAGGCAGGGAUAUUGUGGAUCUUCAUGGAGAGAUGGUUUUAUUGG